UACGAAGGGGGCUAGCGUUGCUCGGAAUCACUGGGCGUAAAGGGUGCGUAGGCGGGUCUUUAAGUCAGGGGUGAAAUCCUGGAGCUCAACUCCAGAACUGCCUUUGAUACUGAGGAUCUUGAGUUCGGGAGAGGUGAGUGGAACUGCGAGUGUAGAGGUGAAAUUCGUAGAUAUUCGCAAGAACACCAGUGGCGAAGGCGGCUCACAGGCCCGAUACUGACGCUGAGGCACGAAAGCGUGGGGAGCAAACAGG
rnacentral:rRNA from 1 species